rnacentral:rRNA from 1 species
GCUGAUUAAUAGUCUACCUGCCCCUGAAAAUUUUGAAUGGCCGCAGUAAUUUGACUGUGCAAAGGCAGCAUAAUCAUUAGUUUUUUAAUUAAAAGCUUGUAUGAAGGGUUGGACGAAGUAAAAUCUGUCUCUAUUUAAUUUAAUAUAGAAUUUAAUUUUUAAGUUAAAAAGCUUAAAUUAUUAUAAAAGACAAGAAGACCCUAUAGAUCUUUAUAAUUUAUUUUAUAUAAUUAAUUAAGAUUAAUUUAAAUUUUAUUAAUAUAAUUAUUUUAUUGGGGUAAUAAAAAGAUUAAAUCAAUUCUUUUUUUUUAUUUACAUUUAUUUAUGAGUUUAAUGAUCCAUUUUUAAUGAUUAUAAGAUUAAGUUACCUUAGGGAUAACAGCGUAAUUUUUUUAAAGAGUUCAUAUCGAUAAAAAAGUUUGCGACCUCGAUGUUGGAUUAAAAAUUAAUUUAGGUGUAGAAGCUUAAAUUUUUGGUCUGUUCGACCAUUGAAUUUUUACGUGAUCUGAGUUCAGACCGGA